GGAAAAGGUGCUCACGUGGAGUGCCCAUCCCUGCAGGGAUUUCACAGCCCUGUGGAUGUGGCACUUGGGGACAGGGGCGGUGCUGGCCUUGGCAGUGCUGGGGAAAGGUUGGACUCGAUGUUUGAGGAAAUGUAGGAACCUGGUGAUGGAACUCCCAGGAUGUUGUUCUGAAAACAGUGAAAUCCAAGAAUCCAGGAGCUGCAGAUGGGGAACCUGAGACUUAGGCAGGAGCUUCCCUAAGUCACCAACAAGGUAUUGCAGGCUGAGUUUCUGCUGCGUGAGCACUUUGCUCUCGUGGCUCUUUGGGACUACCUGGAAUAAACUCUGUGAGACCUUCAGGAAUGGUUUUAAAAUAAAACCAGCUUUCAUGGCAUCAUAUUGGGAGUUUUCUUUGGUGGGAGGGAAACACACCCUCAAAAAUGGCACCUUGGGAAGAUGAGGGGAGGAGAGAGCCUGAGGAAGUGUGAAAAUAAAUCUGCCACUUUGAGUUUUGAAUUGUGUGUUUUGCACAAUAAAACAUUGAAUUCCACACUGGUUUGGGGUGGAAGGACCUUAAAACUCAUCCCAUCCCACCCCUGCCCUGGACAGGGACACCUUCCACUAUCCCAGGCUGCUCCAACCGGGCCUUGGACAUUCCAGGGAUGUGAUGGCCAUGAACAGACAACUGAAUACAAAACAGGAAUUUCUACAACUGUAGGAAUUGUCCUGUAUUUUACUGCUAAACAAAAAUGCAGAUCAGGCGAGCUUGGUCUUUCACAGCACCACAAGCAAACAUCACCUUCCAGUCUGAGGUAAACUGAAUGUUAAUAUAUAAAUCUGUAUUUUCAUUUACUGCUGGAGAACAUUCAUGGCAGUUUUCUAAAAACCUCCACUUAUCCUGCUUGUACUGCCGUGCUCCCCUCAGAUUCCUCUGAUGGAUUAAUAGAGCAGAGCUG